AUAAUGGGUCAGCGACUUAUAUUCUGUAGCAAGGUUAACCGAAUAGGGGAGCCGAAGGGAAACCGAGUCUUAACUGGGCGUUAAGUUGCAGGGUAUAGACCCGAAACCCGGUGAUCUAGCCAUGGGCAGGUUGAAGGUUGGGUAACACUAACUGGAGGACCGAACCGACUAAUGUUGAAAAAUUAGCGGAUGACUUGUGGCUGGGGGUGAAAGGCCAAUCAAACCGGGAGAUAGCUGGUUCUCCCCGAAAGCUAUUUAGGUAGCGCCUCGUGAAUUCAUCUCCGGGGGUAGAGCACUGUUUCGGCAAGGGGGUCAUCCCGACUUACCAACCCGAUGCAAACUGCGAAUACCGGAGAAUGUUAUCACGGGAGACACACGGCGGGUGCUAACGUCCGUCGUGAAGAGGGAAACAACCCAGACCGCCAGCUAAGGUCCCAAAGUCAUGGUUAAGUGGGAAACGAUGUGGGAAGGCCCAGACAGCCAGGAUGUUGGCUUAGAAGCAGCCAUCAUUUAAAGAAAGCGUAAUAGCUCACUGGUCGAGUCGGCCUGCGCGGAAGAUGUAACGGGGCUAAACCAUGCACCGAAGCUGCGGCAGCGACGCUGAUGCGUUGUUGGGUAGGGGAGCGUUCUGUAAGCCUGUGAAGGUGUGCUGUGAGGCAUGCUGGAGGUAUCAGAAGUGCGAAUGCUGACAUAAGUAACGAUAAAGCGGGUGAAAAGCCCGCUCGCCGGAAGACCAAGGGUUCCUGUCCAACGUUAAUCGGGGCAGGGUGAGUCGACCCCUAAGGCGAGGCCGAAAGGCGUAGUCGAUGGGAAACAGGUUA
rnacentral:rRNA from 1 species